ACACACAGCACGUUCUAUAUCCACGACUGACAGCUUUACUCGGCUCGUUUUCUGUGAACGAUGUUGCGAGGGGGUAACGUUAAGGCGGAGCUAGCAAGCG